AUUCAAAAUUUUUAAUAUACGAGAUUUCAAAAAUGUAAAAUCUUUAGUUAAUACGACUCAAUGCUGCAGCUAGGACUUCAGCUGAUCCAGAAAUUGAAAAAAACUAAAAUUAACAUUUUCUACUGUGCUGCUGUCUACAACAAGUUACGAAAAAUGUCACCUGCAAAAUUUUUUCUGACCAUACUGAUGGGAUUGGUACUAAUUAAUAGUGCAAUAGGAAGAGACCCACCAUGUGCAAAUAUCACAGGCUGCAAAC